AACAGGCAUACUCACACAUGCUGGGGAGACUAAAAUGAGUAGUCUCCAGUUGGGACGUUAGAAAUCUUUUUGUUCCUGUGACAAAAUAAGAUACAUUUAUUUUGAGUCAAGGAUUUUGAAAAGGAACUACCAUCUUGUCCAAGGAAACAAACGGCAAAUUCUGGUCCCUUAACUUUGUGUUCGUUACAGGUAUGCUCCCAACAGAUUCUUCAUGAAACACUGGUUAAGCUACAAGGCCAGAAUGUUUACAGAGUUCCUUAUGACCUCACCAGUUGAGAACUAGUGGGGAUUGAGGAGGUUACACCUGAGGAAAAGCUGUUACUAAGGGAAAAUCUUUAUCCCCAAGACUUCUUCAGUAAGCCUCCAGAUCACUUCGGCUGUCAGUCACUGCAUUCACUCCUGGUUGACACACUUUGGGAAUCACACAGCUGAGCAGUAUAUAUUAACUGCCUGCCAGCUUAUGAGAAGUAACACCUCUGACAUGUGGAUACUCUGACAUGGUAACAGUUGCCUAGGUUAUUUUGCAGAAACUUGAACUUUUGCUAAGACAGAUUCUUCACUGGAGGUUGCAAAUACCUGAUGGAUAACCACGGACCCCAGACGUAACACAUCCGACACCGUGAUGGAAGUACUAUCAGGCCUUAAAAUCCAGCAUGGACGUAGGCAGCAAGACCUGCCAAAAUGAGAACCAAGACCUAAUCCAUCAAAGUCCAUCGAUCUGGGAAAGUCUCUAAUGUACCAACCUUGCUUUUUGGCUUCUGUAGUUCCGAAUCUGACCAACUGAGUUGUGUCAGUCCAGGAUGUGGUUUUUAUGCUUAAAAGCCCACUCCGAGAAAGGCUCAGUACUGCACUGGGGUCCCAGACACCCAGUGUAGUUACCAGCCUGGUAAUAAAGACUUUGUAUGGCUUGAAA